rnacentral:rRNA from 1 species
AAACUCAAAUGAAUUGACGGGACCCGCACAAGCAGCGGAGCGUGUGGUUUAAUUCGAUGCUACACGAAGAACCUUACCAGGGUUUGACAUGCAAGUGGUAGGAAACUGAAAAGGGACCGACCUUCGGGGAGCUUGCACAGGUGCUGCAUGGCUGUCGUCAGCUCGUGUCGUGAGAUGUUCGGUUAAGUCCGCUAACGAGCGCAACCCUCACUGUGUGUUAUAUGUGUCACACGGGACUGCCGGUUUUAAGCCGGAGGAAGGUGGGGAUGACGUCAAGUCAGCAUGGCCUUUAUAUCCUGGGCUACACACACGCUACAAUGGUCGGUACAAUAGGUUGCCAAGCCGCGAGGCGGAGCCAAUCCAAAAAAGCCGGCCUCAGUUCAGAUUGUAGGCUGCAACUCGCCUGCAUGAAGAUGGAGUUGCUAGUAACCGCAGGUCAGCAAUACUGCGGUGAAUACGUUCCCGGGUCUU